CAGAAUUUGUUCAUGUAUCUGUGGGUAAAUCUUUAACACAAAAUGUUGGGUUUUGUUCAUUUUAAAGAGCUCAUCAGUCAGUCAGUCAGCUUCUCAGAGUAGCAAUCCAUGUGUCCAGAGAAAAUCAUCACAUGUAAGUGAUAGAAAAGGAAGCAGGCGGAGAAUGGAUACAGAAGAACGAAAAGACAAAGACUCUAUUCAUGGACAUAGUCAGUUGGAUAAAAGACCCGAACCAAGCACAUUGGAGAAUAUUACUGAUGAUAAAUAUGCAACAGUUUCAUCACCAUCAAAGUCAAAGAAGUUAGAGUGCCCUUCUCCUGCAGAACAAAAGCCAGCAGAACAUGUGUCUUUGUCAAAUCCAGCUCCCCUUCUAGUUUCUCCAGAGGUACAUCUAACUCCUGCGGUGCCUUCUUUACCAGCCACUGUGCCAGCCUGGCCAAGUGAACCUACAACUUUUGGACCAACAGGUGUCCCUGCUCCAAUUCCCGUUUUGUCAGUGACACAGACUUUGACCACUGGACCUGAUUCAGCUGUAUCCCAAGCUCAUUUAACACCCUCUCCAGUUCCUGUGUCAAUACAGGCAGUUAACCAGCCCUUGAUGCCUUUGCCUCAGACAUUGAGCCUUUAUCAAGACCCACUCUAUCCUGGGUUUCCUUGUAAUGAAAAGGGAGAUCGAGCCAUUGUACCACCUUAUUCACUGUGUCAGACUGGGGAGGACCUACCUAAAGGUGAGCUCCUUCUCCAAGUUCAAAUCGACUUUAUCAAGUCCAAAUAAGCUUAGUUAAGA
rnacentral:lncRNA from 1 species